rnacentral:rRNA from 1 species
UGCGUAGGUGGUAUGGCAAGUCAGAAGUGAAAACCCAGGGCUUAACUCUGGGACUGCUUUUGAAACUGUCAGACUGGAGUGCAGGGGAGGUAAGCGGAAUUCCUAGUGUAGCGGUGAAAUGCGUAGAUAUUAGGAGGAACAUCAGUGGCGAAGGCGGCUUACUGGACUGAAACUGACACUGAGGCACGAAAGCGUGGGAGCAAACA